UGAAGUAGCAUUGACAAAAUUCUUCAAAGAUGUGCAAAGAAAGCGAAUUUAAACUGAGUGAAAAAUGAUCAAAAGCUAUGCCGUCUAGCGUCAAAAAAAGAAACUUCUAAUAGUAACAUGAAAGCACAAAAAACAAUGUCCGCUUACUCCGCUAUAGCUCGUUGACACUCACUUGAAAGAACUAACAAACAAAGGCAAAUAACUGUGAUACUCACGUCAAGGUUGUAUCUCGUGUUCACCAAAAAGCCACCACAGUCAGCAUCACACAUCACAACAGACGAAAUCACCAAGGUUUUGACGGCCAUUGAUGUUCACGCUGUUAAUUGAGAUGCUGCCUAAUGAGGAGAUGGUGAAAGGGGUACUUUAAGUUGUUGCUGCAGCUGCUGUCGCUGCCCUUGGUGUCACAAUGCAAUGUGUUGUCUAUUACUUUGUCUGUCUUGUCAAUUUUUUUCCGACUCUGUCACUCAAAUCUAAUCCAUGCAGUAAUUGCAAAAUUGCACUGCUAACCUGA